rnacentral:rRNA from 1 species
ACCAGUGGGGAAUCUUGCACAAUGGAGGAAACUCUGAUGCAGCGAUGCCGCGUGAGUGAAGAAGGCCUUUGGGUUGUAAAGCUCUUUUGUAGGGGAAGAUAAUGACUGUACCCUAAGAAUAAGGUCCGGCUAACUUCGUGCCAGCAGCCGCGGUAAUACGAAGGGACCUAGCGUAGUUCGGAAUUACUGGGCGUAAAGCGCGCGUAGGCCGUUGAGUUAGUUAAUUGUGAAAUCCCAAAGCUUAACUUUGGAACUGCAAUUAAAACUGGCUCGACUAGAGUUUGAUAGAGGAAAGCGGAAUACAUAGUGUAGAGGUGAAAUUCGUAGAUAUUAUGUAGAACACCAGUUGCGAAGGCGGCUUUCUGGAUCAACACUGACGCUGAGGCGCGAAAGUAUGGGUAGCAAAGAGGAUUAGAUACCC